rnacentral:lncRNA from 1 species
AGGAAACAGCCACAGGGAAGGGAACCCCUAAGCCACUUUGGGGGCCACGUCCACCACUUCUCUGCCCCUGACCCAGGCUGGUUCCUAGCCCUUAGGGUCCUACUGCGGACCUCCCGGCCAUAAUUAACGCAGGUGCAGGACCAGAGAGCCCCUUGGUCCCUCCCAACACGUGAGGGAACUUUGUGUUGUGAGGUCAGCCCAGGCUGGAAUGCAGUGACUCGAUCUGGGCUCACUGCAACCUCCACCUCCCGGGUUCAAGCGAUUCUCCUGCCUCAGCCUCCCGAGUAGAUGAAAUUACAGACAACCGCCACCAUGCCCGGCUAAUUUUUGCAUUUUUUAGUAGAGAUUGGGUUUCACCAUGUGGGCCAGGCUGGUCUCGAACUCCUGACCUCAAGUGAUCUGCCCGCCGUGGCCACCCAAAGUGCUGGGAUUACAGGCGUCAGCCACUGCGCCCGGCCUGAAUCCAUUUUAACAUUUAGUUUUUCAGAUUAACUCGAAGUACCCCACAGCUACACGCUAAUGAAACUAGAGGAGGCACAGCCUCAGCUCCAUGCAGGAUGGAUGCACAAGAGCAGAAUCUCCAUGGGAUGCCUUUCUGGAGCAUCAGGAUUACUGCAGGAUUUGGAAGCAACAAGUUCAAAUAAUUUUCAACGUUAACACACUGGAAAUUUAAGAGAAGUCUGGAAAGUCAUCUACCUUUAAAAACUGUCAGUCAUCUGUGCCUAAGUCAGACUUUCUCCAAGAAAAAAAAAAAAAACUCUAAGGAGAACCUAUUUUUCAUUCUUCUAAGUAGUUAAAAUUU